rnacentral:lncRNA from 1 species
CAAUGUGAAAAUAUCGAGAAAAAACAUGGUCUUGUAGGGCUAGGUUUAAACCAGAAUUUAUAGAAAGAUUAACAGAUUCCCUAGGUGUAGCUAAAAGUUCAUUAUCUUUUUGAUUAAAAGAUAGGACCUCAGCUAUAGAAAAGGGUUGGUUUAACCUAUUGCAAUCAACUCUGGACACAAAUCAUAAUUAGGGGCAAAGGAAGGACUUGUUGACUCCCAUGGUCUAUGGCUGGUCUCCGAAGGUGCAAAAAAUUCAAAAAUAGGUGUGGAAUUUGAGUUAUCCAUAAAGAUGGAAAAAAUAAAAAGAUAAAAGAAUAAAAGUAUAAAAGUAUAAUACAAGAUAAUAUCAAGACUUAAAGUUAUCUCGGCAAACCGUCUUUCUCCCCG